rnacentral:rRNA from 1 species
UACGGAGGGUGCGAGCGUUGUCCGGAAUCACUGGGCGUAAAGGGCGCGUAGGCGGCAUGCCAAGCGUGUGGUGAAAGCCCGGGGCUCAACCCCGGGUCGGCCGUGCGGACUGGCGUGCUCGAGCACUGUAGGGGCGGGUGGAAUUCCGGGUGUAGCGGUGGAAUGCGUAGAUAUGACAUAGAACACCAAUUGCGCAGGCAGCUUACUACACAGUAAUUGACACUGAGGCACGAAAGCGUGGGGAUCAAACAGG